rnacentral:rRNA from 1 species
GACGAACGCUGGCGGCGUGCUUAACACAUGCAAGUCGAACGGAAAGACCCUGCUUUUGUGGGGUGCUCGAGUGGCGAACGGGUGAGUAACACGUGAGUAACCUGCCCUUGACUUUGGGAUAACUUCAGGAAACUGGGGCUAAUACCGGAUAUGAGCUCCUGCUGCAUGGGGGGGGUUGGAAAGUUUCGGCGGUUGGGGAUGGACUCGCGGCUUAUCAGCUUGUUGGUGGGGUAGUGGCUUACCAAGGCUUUGACGGGUAGCCGGCCUGAGAGGGUGACCGGCCACAUUGGGACUGAGAUACGGCCCAGACUCCUACGGGAGGCAGCAGUGGGGAAUAUUGCACAAUGGGCGGAAGCCUGAUGCAGCAACGCCGCGUGCGGGAUGACGGCCUUCGGGUUGUAAACCGCUUUCGCCUGUGACGAAGCGUGAGUGACGGUAAUGGGUAAAGAAGCACCGGCUAACUACGUG